AGACCCGAAACCCGGUGAUCUAGCCAUGGGCAGGUUGAAGGUUGGGUAACACUAACUGGAGGACCGAACCGACUAAUGUUGAAAAAUUAGCGGAUGACCUGUGGCUGGGGGUGAAAGGCCAAUCAAACCGGGAGAUAGCUGGUUCUCCCCGAAAGCUAUUUAGGUAGCGCCUCGUGAAUUCAUCUCCGGGGGUAGAGCACUGUUUCGGCUAGGGGGCCAUCCCGGCUUACCAACCCGAUGCAAACUGCGAAUACCGGAGAAUGUUAUCACGGGAGACACACGGCGGGUGCUAACGUCCGUCGUGAAGAGGGAAACAACCCAGACCGCCAGCUAAGGUCCCAAAGUCAUGGUUAAGUGGGAAACGAUGUGGGAAGGCCCAGACAGCCAGGAUGUUGGCUUAGAAGCAGCCAUCAUUUAAAGAAAGCGUAAUAGCUCACUGGUCGAGUCGGCCUGCGCGGAAGAUGUAACGGGGCUAAACCAUGCACCGAAGCUGCGGCAGCGACACUGUGUGUUGUUGGGUAGGGGAGCGUUCUGUAAGCCUGUGAAGGUGUGUCGUGAGGCAUGCUGGAGGUAUCAGAAGUGCGAAUGCUGACAUAAGUAACGAUAAAGCGGGUGAAAAGCCCGCUCGCCGGAAGACCAAGGGUUCCUGUCCAACGUUAAUCGGGGCAGGGUGAGUCGACCCCUAAGGCGAGGCCGAAAGGCGUAGUCGAUGGGAAACGGGUUAAUAUUCCCGUACUUGGUGUUACUGCGAAGGGGGGACGGAGAAGGCUAUGUUGGCCGGG
rnacentral:rRNA from 6 species